rnacentral:rRNA from 1 species
CCCUACGGGAGGCAGUAGGGAAUCUUCCACAAUGGGCGAAAGCCUGAUGGAGCAACGCCGCGUGGGUGAAGAAGGUCUUCGGAUCGUAAAACCCUGUUGUUAGAGAAGAAAGUGCGUGAGAGUAACUGUUCACGUUUCGACGGUAUCUAACCAGAAAGCCACGGCUAACUACGUGCCAGCAGCCGCGGUAAUACGUAGGUGGCAAGCGUUAUCCGGAUUUAUUGGGCGUAAAGGGAACGCAGGCGGUCUUUUAAGUCUGAUGUGAAAGCCUUCGGCUUAACCGGAGUAGUGCGUUGGAAACUGGG